GAAGGGCUGUAGCUUAGUGGUAGAACACCUGCUUUGCAUGCAGAAGACCCAGUUUCAAUCCUUGGCAUCUUCU